rnacentral:piRNA from 1 species
UUACAAGAUGGUGUUCUUAGUGAAG